GUAGUGGUGGUUGAGUGGUAGAAUUCUUGCCUUCCAUGCAGGAGACCUGGGUUCAAUUCCCAGCCAAUGUA
rnacentral:tRNA from 1 species